AGUCGAGUUAAGCACCCUUGGUGAGGCCAGAAGGCCCUGGGAGGAUCUGAGCAGGGGUGGCCAGAUGGGAGGAACUCUCAUUUCUGCCACAUGCUCUACCAGGAGUCAAGGGGAUGGAGUGUCGCAGGGAAGUGAGGUCUUGGCUGGAGGGAGAGACUCCAGGUCAGCAGAGGGUGGGCCAGGCUUUGCCAGAAGUGCAGAUGAAUACCUUGAGGGAGGACUGAGUGUAUUCCCCAUGCCAGAACAGACCCCAGGCAGAGGUGGCUGGAUUUGGUGUCUUUUUACUUUUGUCUGGAGUGUUCCAGGGAGGUGAAGGCCUUGGUCUGAGCUGGUGACAUCAGCAGAGGGAGGAGUCCCAGGAUCUGUGAGGAGUCAAGAUAAGUGUCUCAGGGAGGUGAAGGCCUUGGUCUGAGUGUGAAGGCAGGUUAGCUGAGGGAGCCACAUCAGGUCAGAAGAGGGAGGAGUCCCAAGCUCUACCAGGUGUCAAGGUUCCUAGGGGACAAACUGUCCAGGAACACAGGAGCUCUGUGAGGC